CCUUUGAGUUUAGAGUAGUAUACAGAAACAGAACUGGUGCCUUGACUUAAGGUGGCAAUUUCUUUAUGAAGAUUAAAUGUUCUUGAUCCAUCCACCUUGUUGAAUCUUUCGAACAAGUCAUCCCAUACAACUUUAGCACUUGAAGCAUACAUUAUGCCUCCUAACAAGCUCUUUGAAACAGAAUUCAUGAUCCAAGACAGA
rnacentral:lncRNA from 1 species